rnacentral:lncRNA from 1 species
AGUGAGGAUACGGGUUUUGGCACAGUUUAUAUAUAGUUCACAUAAUAUCAAAGCCAAUUAUUACAUAAAGCACAGAUCAUGUAACAAAAUCAGAUAUAGCCAAACACAAAAUUAUUCAAUGUUCGAAUUCUAAACCCUGAACAAAAUGUUCUGGGUUCUUGUCCCCAGCAGAGUCACAGAGCUGUCACACCUUCUUUUUCAUUUUACCCGCAAGGGUGUAAAGGGGUUUUUCCAAUUAAAGGAUAAUUGGAACGGGAUUUAAUUCAGAGUCGCCACUUUGGAUAUUAAUGGUGUUCCGAGUCACCGGUUUAAUCCCGAAUCAAGGAAAAGUAUGACUCUGUAUUACAGUCUGUGAACUAGAAAUACGUAUAUGGAAUUCUGUUAACCUGGGAGAAAGUGUUACACAUUCCUGGGUUCCCUGGUUCUAGCAUGGUCGCUCAACUAUAGCAUUUAGAUAAUUUAUCUGAUUUUAUUACAUGAAGAACGUAUGUGCCAAUUUUACUUUUAGCCGCUUUUAAUCAAUAUGUAUUUUUAAAGAAAGUUGAACGUCGUUUAAGGUGUGCCUUUGGAUCGCGUCACAUGAAGUGUACCCACACUCCUAAAUACACUUUUCUCAAUGUUUUUGGAUUUGAUUUAGGUUGCAUGAAAUGCACACUUAAUUUUAAGAAUGUAAUUUUAUUAAAACUGUGCCUAAAAUGGCUAAUGCGUUAUUAUCUUUUGGGAGGUCCGUAAAAUUUACCAAAUGGCCCUUCCCGAUUUUCUAGUUAUUUUUAAUCAACCAUUUAUGGAAGGCACCGCAAUUUUGUGUUUGAUUUGGUGAGGCUCGUCUCAUUUUAUUUUAAAUGGUCAAACCUAAAAGCAACAAUAAUUUUUCUAUUUUCAUUUUGUCUCUAAAAUAAAAGAAAAGGACCUAAUUUAUUAAUAUUAGAAUUUGGGCUUCAAGUUCAAGUCUAGGCCCAAACAAAAGGAAGAAUCUUUUAAUUAUAACCCGCUACCUAACUCAAAACUCAAACUCAUAUUGUAACAAACCUUGAAUUGAAAUCUUCAAAACAUGCCCCAUUUAAUGAACUAAAAGGUUUUGCGUGGGAAUUAGCUGUACCAAAUGGGCCUGAGUCCAGCCCAAAUGGUAAUGCAAUAACCGGCUGCCCAAGGGAAAUCAAAGGAUCGAAUCCUCCGGAGGUCACACGCCCACGAAUUAAUUAGCUGCUAAACCAUUCUCCACUUUGUUCAAAAUUCACAAUGACCAUUGAAAUCACUGGGCUUCAAACAUAAAAAUGUAACUAACAUGAGCUGGGCAGGACAACUACGUUAAACUUUUACAUGAAAAGGAGAAAAAUUAAUCGUGCUUGAUAUCAGUAACGCUUCCCACCAGUAAUUAGUAAUGUCAAAUGUUAUUUAUCAAUUCCACACACUAAUUAACAGCCCAAACACAUGCUGAUUUUGAAUUAGGCUAAAACGAACCUAGAAGAACAUGAAUCAAUUAAUAGUUCAUUAAAUAUCUAUUAACUAUUGCCAUACAAAAUGUUAUAGUUCGACACUUACCUGUUAUUAGCAAUUCGAACAACAACCAUUGAUGCAAGAAAAAUUUCACAGAUUCGAAAUAUAUGCUAACUCGAGUUAUUUUCCAGCUUUAGUGUUUAAACUGAAUAAACACACUAAACUAGUUGUAAUUGAUACCAAUUAACGAUUCAAGUAGCUGCUUAACCAAAGUUUUCUGGGUGCUUUAACAAUCUGUUACUAAAGAAUAAUCGACAUAGUCCAAAUUAGCCUAAAGUAGUUCCAAUUACAUAGUGACGUUUCCAUUAUUAAUAUAGAACACAAAAUAGAGCUAAUAUCAAAUACUUCUACUUCAUUUAACAUAUAUUGAAUCAGAGACAACAAAUGACACCCAAAUGUGCAGGUUUGCUGGCACACUUCCAUUUUAACAUCAAUUCAAGUUUAAUUGAGGUGAUUCGAAAUGUAUACCUUGAAUUCAAUGUUUAACAGAAGAAGAAGGAGUAUGCAGGCAGUUCCAAACAGUAGUCAUAGCUAGCAACAAAUAGAAAUAAUUCUGACCCAAAUCGACUUCUUAAAACCCAGGAAGGAACUCAAAAAUGCAACAACAACAAAUUGAUCAAAAGAAGUCCUGUUUGUUCUCAAGUUCACUUGAGAUUGGACUUUGAAAUCUCUGCCAGUAAGUUUGAAACUAUGAAAACUUGAAAUCCUAAUGAAACUGUAACUAUUUUUUGAUUUUUGAAUUUUUGUUUUUGAUAUUGAUAUCCUAUUUCACAUCUGAAAAACUAAUGAGAGGGAAUUUUUGGGGAUACUAUAAGAUUGAAAAAACCUUCCUCUCAAGGCAUUAGUGAUGCCUUUUUAUAAGCCAAAAAGAGGGCAGCCCUC